rnacentral:rRNA from 1 species
AAAAUUAGAGUGUUCAAAGCAGGCAGAUCCAAUUUUCUGCCACCGAAUACAUUAGCAUGGGAUAAUGGAAUAGGACCCUGUCCUCCUAUUUUCAGUUGGUUUUGGCAGCGCGAGGACUAGGGUAAUGAUUAAUAGGGAUAGUUGGGGGCAUUAAUAUUUAAUUGUCAGAGGUGAAAUUCUUGGAUUUAUGAAAGAUUAACUUCUGCGAAAGCAUCUGCCAAGGAUGUUUUCAUUAAUCAAGAACGAAAGUUAGGGGAUCGAAGACGAUCAGAUACCGUCGUAGUCUUAACCAUAAACGAUGCCGACCAGCGAUUAGGAGACGUUGAAUACAAAACACCACCAUCGGUUGCGGUCGUCCUUGGCGUCUCGGUUUCGGCCGGGGCGCGGGGAUGGCUUAGCCCGGUGGCACCGGUGAAU